UGUGUGUGUGUGUGUGUGUAUACGCAUGAGCAAAAGCAUUUAAUUGUGCAUAAGAACCUGUUGUUGCGGCGCAGAAAUGUUGAAGAGGAAUAGCUGAAACUGAUCUAGAAGAGAUCUAUCUCAUUACGAUUGUUGGAAAUGAAUGAGAGAAGGUCUUUGGUAUUAAUAUGUAAAUCAAGAAUCACAUAUCUGGAAGAAGAAUGUUAUUCUGAAAUUGUUUGUAGGUAAUGUUCCUCUGUGUUACAGUGGCAAAAACAAUGAAUAAAAAGGAAAUCUUGUACUAGUUAUGAGGGUGUAUGUGAAACAGAAAAUAUAUUUCAAUGGAGACUGUCAGCUCUUUGAGAAAACACUUUCAGAAAACAGAUCUAUUGAUGACCUACUCUCCAAUGUCACUCACCAGUAGGCUCUCACCUUAGAUAAAUUUGAUAGAAGCAAUGUUGGUUGUUAACCUCAACAUCAGCAAAGUUUUUGACUGUGUAUAGCAUGUAAAUCUGCUGUCAAAACUGCCUGCCUAUGGGUUCCAUACAUCAUUCAUCUCUUCCUAUCAGAUUAUACUAUCACAUCCUGUGCUGAUGAAAUUCUCUCAUUCAACUCUUCCACCUCACACUCUUCCUCCUAUACAACAAUGACUUAUUUGCCAUCAUAAAUAACACAUUCUUACUCAGAUGAUUCUACUUUUCCCCACCCAAGCAUCUUCUACAUGCAAUCAGGACACCUCAUGCUAUAUGUACACUGACUCCAUAAAUAGAGACUUCAAAAAUAUCUUCCGACUGGGUCAUGCCAGUCUUGUAUCUUUCAGCAGCAAAAAGACACUGCUCACAUUAAGAAAAUAUUAUUACAUCUUAUCCUCCUUAACCCUUUAGCAUUAAAACUGGCCAUAUCCAACCCAAAUAUCCUACCUGUUUCACAAUCAAAUCAGCCAGAUCUCAUCUAUCACACCAACCCUAAAAUGUCAUUCUAAAAAUAUACAAUGUAGGUACAGGCAUGGCUUGCUGGUAAGAAGCUUGCUUCCGUGCAUGCGUGACCGAGAGUGCAUUUGGUUUGUCGUUUGUCUCGGACGUUGGUUGUCUUCAGCAGAGGAGGAGCUGGUAAGAGUGGUCAUAAAGAUGGACGGAGUGUUGGAAAAGACAAGGAGUUUUGCAGAGGUCACAGAGAUGAAGCAAAGGGAGUUGGACUUGACUAGUCUGAAGGAUUACGAAAAGAUGUUACAGAAGGUGGGAGGGGACGUGAGGCUGUCACCCCACCCAAAGGAAUUAUGUAGCAGAUGGAGAGAAAAACGAUGACCUGUAAGGUGUUCUCAUUAAAAGGAAAAAAGGCCGAGCAGGUGGAAGCUGAAACAGAAAAGGCGCUAAGGGAGAAGUCGAAAGAAAUAAUAUACAUUACUAAAGGAAGAAGACAUGGGACAAUGCUCGUCCAAUUCAGGAUAGUAGAGGAGGCAAGGAGGCUGGCGAGUGUGGUGGUGAAAAAAAAAGUAAUGCUUCAGCCCACAUACCUUGGAAGAAAGACUUCCAAAGUGAGGGUAGAAGCAAUUCCACUGGAUAUAGAAGUGGCUUGGGUAGCGGCAGCUGUCCUUGUUGGAAGCGAAGAGAUGAUGGCUGUCCUCCAAGCCACAGAAACAGAAGAAAGAGGUUGGAAAUGAAGGACACUUGAACUAAUUAUUCAGGCAGAGGAGAGUCAACUAGAGAACUUGGCAGAGACGGUGACAUUGGGGGAAAUCGUGCUGAGAGUGUGUUUUAAAUGUGGCCAAAAGGGCCACAUUAGAGUAUACUGCCCUCUACAGAGGACAAGGCUGAGGAUACAGUUGUGGAGACAGAAGAGGAAUGAGAAGAAGAAAAGAUAGACGGAGGAAACAAGAAAACGGAGGAAGAAUGGAAAGUUACAGAGAGCAGAAAGAGAAAGAGAGAAAAAAGAAAAAACACUGAGUAUGACGUGGUACCCCAGUCCAACUCCAUCCCACCCAAGACAACUCAGUCCCACCCUCCCCUCACAGACACCAAACUAACCCACCCCAUUUCUCAACAAGAAAAAAAAAGAAAGAACAGAUGCCACAAAAUUUAAAAGAUGCCACUCACGGUGAAAAAGGUUACGAAUGCAUGGUGGAGAGAACGAUGUCACUAAGUGAUAGAGAAACGGGAAAAAGGACUGGACUGAAGAAGGAAAAGAACUUAGAACUCAGAGGCAGCAAGUGGUGUUACUCAGUGUGGGG